GAUUUCAAGAGGCUGAUGUGAUCAAUCAACAUUAAGGUGCCUGUUUCUUUAUAUCCAGUGAAUGCCUGAGGCCAUAAGAUUAGCUUUGCUCAUAUCUGAUGUUGAUCUGAUGUUUGUAUUGCAAAUAUUUCAAUCAAGUGAGUAAGUUCUAGGCCCAAUUUUUUAUGGAACAUAUUCCAAAUCCUUGAGCAAUAACCAUGCUCGUUUUCAAUGGAACCAAG
rnacentral:lncRNA from 1 species